rnacentral:ncRNA from 2 species
UAGAAUGCGCCUCGGAAUGGUGCCCUCAAUGGGUUAAAAGGGAACAAGGUGCUACGUUUUUACGUUAUUCCUUGGCUGUCCUCGCAACUGUAAGCAAGUAGCCCUAUUCAAUUAGACCACUGGUCAUUUCAGGCCGGGAAGGUGGAAUAGAGUGUUGAUCUGUAAGUCAGGAAACCUGCCAUUUCAGCGUCGCGAUU